rnacentral:rRNA from 1 species
UACGAAGGGGGCGAGCGUUGUUCGGAAUUACUGGGCGUAAAGGGCGCGCAGGCGGUCUGGUAAGUUUGGAGUGACAGUGCUCGGCUUAACUGAGCAAGGCCUUCGAAAACUGCUAGACUUGAGCACUCAAGAGGGACAUAGAAUUCCGGGUGGAGUGGUGAAAUGCGUAGAUAUCCGGAGGAAUACCAAAGGCGAAGGCAGUGUCCUGGGGAGUGUCUGACGCUCAGGCGCGAAAGCUAGGGGAGCGAACAGG